rnacentral:hammerhead_ribozyme from 1 species
AUCUCUCUGACUAGUUCCAAAUAGGACGAAACGCGUGUCCUGUAU